CCUACGGGUGGCAGCAGUGGGGAAUAUUGCACAAUGGGGGAAACCCUGAUGCAGCGACGCCGCGUGAAGGAAGCAGUCUUUCGGUAUGUAACCUUCUAUCAGCAGGGACGAAAAUGACGGUACCUGACUACUCAUCCCCGGCUAACUACGUUCCAGCAGCCGCGGUAAUACGUAGGGGGCACGCGUUAUCCGGAUUUACUGGGUGUAAAGGGAGCGUAGUCGGUUUAGCAAGUCAGAAGUGAAAGCCCGGGGCUCAACUCCGGGACUGCUUUUGAAACUGUUGAACUAGAUGGCAGGAGAGGUAAGUGGAAUUCCUAGUGUAGCGGUGAAAUGCGUAGAUAUUAGGAGGAACACCAGUGGCGAAGGCGGCUUACUGGACUGUAAAUGACGCUGAGGCUCGAAAGCGUGGGGAGCAAACAGGAUUAGAUACCCGUGUAGUC
rnacentral:rRNA from 1 species